UCCAUGCCGUAAACGAUGAUAACUAGCUAUUGGCGAUACACAGUCAGUGGCAAAGCGAAAGCAUUAAGUUAUCCACCUGGGAAGUACGGUCGCAAGAUUGAAACUCAAAGGAAUUGACGGGGGCCCGCACAAGCGGUGGAGCAUGUGGUUUAAUUCGAUGAUACGCGAGGAACCUUACCAGGGCUUAAAUGGGGAUUGACAGGACUGGAAACAGUUUUUCUCGGACAAUCUUC
rnacentral:rRNA from 1 species